CCUACGGGUGGCAGCAGUGGGGAAUAUUGGACAAUGGGGGAAACCCUGAUCCAGCGACGCCGCGUGAGUGAAGAAGUAUUUCGGUACGUAAAGCUCUAUCAGCAGGAAAGAAAAUGACGGUACCUGACUAAGAAGCCCCGGCUAACUACGUGCCAGCAGCCGCGGUAAUACGUAGGGGGCAAGCGUUAUCAGGAUUUACUGGGUGUAAAGGGAGCGUAGACGGCGGGGCAAGUCUGAGGUGAAAUGCCGGGGCUCAACCCCGGAACUGCUCUGGAAAAUGUGUAGCUGGAGUGCAGGAGAGGUAAGCGGAAUUCCUGGUGUAGCGGUGAAAUGCGUAGAUAUCAGGAGGAACACCAGCGGCGAAGGCGGCUUACUGGACUGUAACUGACGUUGAGGCUCGAAGGCGUGGGGAGCAAACAGGAUUAGAUACCCUUGUAGUC
rnacentral:rRNA from 1 species